rnacentral:tRNA from 1 species
GCAUAAGUGGUCUAGUGGUAGAAUAGUACCCUGCCACGGUACAAACUCGGAUUUUAUUCCCGGCUAGUGCA